ensembl:lncRNA SCN1A-AS1 SCN1A and SCN9A antisense RNA 1
GAUGUCCACAGUGCUACCUUCUGAUGAGCUACUGCUUUCAUUCAGUUUCUAUCCGAUUCACUACUAAAGUCUUCCGUGUUUAAAUUUUCAAAGUCAGAUUCUCCUACAGCAAUUGAGGAGAAGCUCCAAGCUCCUGAAGAAUCCAGGAUCCAUGAAUGUGAAUGAAAUUCCUUCCAAAAAUUAGACUUAUUUGAGAUCAAUUGGCAGUGGGCAGACAAAACAUUAAAGAAGCAACAUAAUAGAGACCUCACAUCCUCAACAGAGUUUGAGAAGCACUGCUCCAAGUCUCACCUCUGCCUGCAUUCCCUCUAUCAUCUUUGAAGGAGUAUGAGUCCAGAAAACAGAUAGAGCUUUACCACAAAGCGCAUUUGAAGGAAGGGAGAAUUUCACCUGUGCUUACUAGAAGAACAAUCCCCUAUGCCAACAAUACUUAGCCCUCUUUUUCUCUGAUUCAUUGAGGGAUUCUGUCCCUGAAUGACAUUGUGAGAUCAUCGUAAAUCUGAACAGACUUGUGCAAUGCAAAUGCCUUUGCUGUGGGGGAAUAUGAGCAUGUAACGACACAGAAAG